GGAAACGAUGUGGGAAGGCCCAGACAGCCAGGAUGUUGGCUUAGAAGCAGCCAUCAUUUAAAGAAAGCGUAAUAGCUCACUGGUCGAGUCGGCCUGCGCGGAAGAUGUAACGGGGCUAAACCAUGCACCGAAGCUGCGGCAGCGAACGUAUCACCCAAGACAACUUUACGGAGUUGACGAUUGACGGAGCGAAGCGACGUCAAAGCGUUCAUUAAAGUCGAGUUGGCUUAGGGAUACGUUCGUUGGGUAGGGGAGCGUUCUGUAAGCCUGUGAAGGUGUGUCGUGAGGCAUGCUGGAGGUAUCAGAAGUGCGAAUGCUGACAUAAGUAACGAUAAAGCGGGUGAAAAGCCCGCUCGCCGGAAGACCAAGGGUUCCUGUCCAACGUUAAUCGGGGCAGGGUGAGUCGACCCCUAAGGCGAGGCCGAAAGGCGUAGUCGAUGGGAAACGGGUUAAUAUUCCCGUACUUGGUGUUACUGCGAAGGGGGGACGGAGAAGGCUAUGUUGGCCGGGCGACGGUUGUCCCGGUUUAAGCGUGUAGGUGUGUGUUCCAGGUAAAUCCGGUUCACUUUAACACUGAGGCGUGACGACGAGGCACUACGGUGCUGAAGCAACAAAUGCCCUGCUUCCAGGAAAAGCCUCUAAGCAUCAGGUAACACGAAAUCGUACCCCAAACCGACACAGGUGGUCAGGUAGAGAAUACCAAGGCGCUUGAGAGAACUCGGGUGAAGGAACUAGGCAAAAUGGUGCCGUAACUUCGGGAGAAGGCACGCUGACACGUAGGUGAAGUGAUUUACUCAUGGAGCUGAAGUCAGUCGAAGAUACCAGCUGGCUGCAACUGUUUAUUAAAAACACAGCACUGUGCAAACACGAAAGUGGACGUAUACGGUGUGACGCCUGCCCGGUGCCGGAAGGUUAAUUGAUGGGGUCAGCGCAAGCGAAGCUCCUGAUCGAAGCCCCGGUAAACGGCGGCCGUAACUAUAACGGUCCUAAGGUAGCGAAAUUCCUUGUCGGGUAAGUUCCGACCUGCACGAAUGGCGUAAUGAUGGCCAGGCUGUCUCCACCCGAGACUCAGUGAAAUUGAACUCGCUGUGAAGAUGCAGUGUACCCGCGGCAAGACGGAAAGACCCCGUGAACCUUUACUAUAGCUUGACACUGAACAUUGAGCCUUGAUGUGUAGGAUAGGUGGGAGGCUUUGAAGUGUGGACGCCAGUCUGCAUGGAGCCGACCUUGAAAUACCACCCUUUAAUGUUUGAUGUUCUAACGUGGACCCGUAAUCCGGGUUGCGGACAGUGUCUGGUGGGUAGUUUGACUGGGGCGGUCUCCUCCUAAAGAGUAACGGAGGAGCACGAAGGUUGGCUAAUCCUGGUCGGACAUCAGGAGGUUAGUGCAAUGGCAUAAGCCAGCUUGACUGCGAGCGUGACGGCGCGAGCAGGUGCGAAAGCAGGUCAUAGUGAUCCGGUGGUUCUGAAUGGAAGGGCCAUCGCUCAACGGAUAAAAGGUACUCCGGGGAUAACAGGCUGAUACCGCCCAAGAGUUCAUAUCGACGGCGGUGUUUGGCACCUCGAUGUCGGCUCAUCACAUCCUGGGGCUGAAGUAGGUCCCAAGGGUAUGGCUGUUCGCCAUUUAAAGUGGUACGCGAGCUGGGUUUAGAACGUCGUGAGACAGUUCGGUCCCUAUCUGCCGUGGGCGCUGGAGAACUGAGGGGGGCUGCUCCUAGUACGAGAGGACCGGAGUGGACGCAUCACUGGUGUUCGGGUUGUCAUGCCAAUGGCACUGCCCGGUAGCUAAAUGCGGAAGAGAUAAGUGCUGAAAGCAUCUAAGCACGAAACUUGCCCCGAGAUGAGUUCUCCCUGAGACUUAGAGUCUCCUGAAGGAACGUUGAAGACGACGACGUUGAUAGGCCGGGUGUGUAAGCGCAGCGAUGCGUUGAGCUAACCGGUACUAAUGAACCGUGAGGCUUAACCUUACAACGCCGAAG
rnacentral:rRNA from 1 species